UUGUCCGGAAUUAUUGGGCGUAAAGAGCUCGUAGGCGGUCUGUUGCGUCGGCUGUGAAAACCCGGGGCUCAACUCCGGGCCUGCAGCCGAUACGGGCAGACUAGAGUUCGGCAGGGGAGACUGGAAUUCCUGGUGUAGCGGUGAAAUGCGCAGAUAUCAGGAGGAACACCGGUGGCGAAGGCGGGUCUCUGGGCCGAUACUGACGCUGAGGAGCGAAAGCGUGGGGAGCGAACAGG
rnacentral:rRNA from 1 species